ACNGGGANUGCCUUAGUAACGGCGAGUGAAGCGGCAACAGCUCAAAUUUGAAAUCUCGGCCCCCAGGCCCGAGUUGUAAUUUGUAGAGGAUGCUUCUGGCGACGCGCCUUCCGAGUUCCCUGGAACGGGACGCCAAAGAGGGUGAGAGCCCCGUCCGGUCGUGCGCCUAGCCUCUGUGAAGCUCCUUCGACGAGUCGAGUAGUUUGGGAAUGCUGCUCUAAAUGGGAGGUAUACGUCUUCUAAAGCUAAAUACCGGCCAGAGACCGAUAGCGCACAAGUAGAGUGAUCGAAAGAUGAAAAGCACUUUGAAAAGAGGGUUAAAUAGUACGUGAAAUUGCUGAAAGGGAAGCGCUUAUGACCAGACUUGGGCUUGGUGAAUCAUCCGGCGUUCUCGCCGGUGCACUUUGCCGGUCCAGGCCAGCAUCAGUUCGUCCCGGGGGAUAAAGGCUUCGGGAAUGUAGCUCUUUCGGGAGUGUUAUAGACCGUUGCGUAAUACCCUGGGGUGGACUGAGGUACGCGUUCUGCAAGGAUGCUGGCGUAAUGGUCAUCAGCGACCCGUCUUGAAACACGGACCAAGGAGUCGUCUUCGUAUGCGAGUGUUCGGGUGUCAAACCCCUACGCGUAAUGAAAGUGAACGUAGGAGAGAGCUUCGGCGCAUCUCCGACCGAUCCUGAUGUUCUCGGAUGGAUUUGAGUAAGAGCAUACGGGGCCGGACCCGAAAGAAGGUGAACUAUGCCUGUAUAGGGUGAAGCCAGAGGAAACUCUGGUGGAGGCUCGCAGCGGUUCUGACGUGCAAAUCGAUCGUCAAAUAUGGGCAUGGGGGCGAAAGACUAAUCG
rnacentral:rRNA from 1 species